AAUUUUUCUGUGUAGAGGGCAAUGUCGAAGGAUGAGUGAGUCUUGGAGACAACAUUAUCUAACUGCCUCACGUUUUGAACCCUAGGCCUAGUCUACUGCUGCAUUUUGAACCCAUAGCUCAGGUUCCCUCUUCCUCCACCAUCUACUGUCAUCUUCCCUUCAGCUUCACCAGAGAACCCUGUAUAUCGCAGUUCCCUUUCAAUCUCAGGGGCGACAUUCAUAGUUCAAAAAAU
rnacentral:misc_RNA from 1 species